rnacentral:tRNA from 1 species
GGUAGCUCAGUGGUAGAGCACUUGCCCAGCAUGUGUGAGGCCCUAGGUUCUAUCCCCAGUAUCA